rnacentral:rRNA from 1 species
CUUGGUCAUUUAGAGGAAGUAAAAGUCGUAACAGGGUUUCCGUAGGUGAACCUGCGGAAGGAUCAUUACCGAGUGAGGGCCCUCUGGGUCCAACCUCCCACCCGUGUUUAUUUUACCUUGUUGCUUCGGCGAGCCUGCCUUUUGGCUGCCGGGGGACAUCUGUCCCCGGGUCCGCGCUCGCCGAAGACACCUUAGAACUCUGUCUGAAGAUUGUAGUCUGAGAUUAAAUAUAAAUUAUUUAAAACUUUCAACAACGGAUCUCUUGGUUCCGGCAUCGAUGAAGAGCGCAGCGAAAUGCGAUACGUAAUGUGAAUUGCAGAAUUCAGUGAAUCAUCGAGUCUUUGAACGCACAUUGCGCCCUCUGGUAUUCCGGAGGGCAUGCCUGUCCGAGCGUCAUUGCUGCCCUCAAGCACGGCUUGUGUGUUGGGCUCCGUCCUCCUUCCGGGGGACGGGCCCGAAAGGCAGCGGCGGCACCGCGUCCGGUCCUCAAGCGUAUGGGGCUUUGUCACCCGCUUUGUAGGACUGGCCGGCGCCUGCCGAUCAACCAAACUUUUUUCCAGGUUGACCUCGGAUCAGGUAGGGAUACCCGCUGAACUUAAGCAUAUCAAUAAGCGGAGGA